GAUGAACGCUGGCGGCGUGCUUAACACAUGCAAGUCGAACGAUGAAGCCCAGCUUGCUGGGUGGAUUAGUGGCGAACGGGCGAGUAACACGUGAGUAACCUGCCCUUAACUCUGGGAUAAGCCUGGGAAACUGGGUCUAAUACCGGAUAGGAGCGCCUACCGCAUGGUGGGGGUUGGAAAGAUUUAUCGGUUUUGGAUGGACUCGCGGCCUAUCAGCUUGUUGGUGAGGUAAUGGCUCACCAAGGCGACGACGGGUAGCCGGCCUGAGAGGGUGACCGGCCACACUGGGACUGAGACACGGCCCAGACUCCUACGGGAGGCAGCAGUGGGGAAUAUUGCACAAUGGGCGAAAGCCUGAUGCAGCGACGCCGCGUGAGGGAUGACGGCCUUCGGGUUGUAAACCUCUUUCAGUAGGGAAGAAGCGAAAGUGACGGUACCUGCAGAAGAAGCACCGGCUAACUACGUG
rnacentral:rRNA from 1 species